rnacentral:lncRNA from 1 species
AGGAAUACGGGUGAGUAGGUAUGGUCCGCAGGUAUCUCAUCUUUUAUUUGCUGAUGAUUGCAUACUGUUUGGAGAGGCAACGAGGAGGGGUGCAAACGUCAUAAAGGAUAUUCUGUGUGAAUUCAAAGUUUGCUCGGGACAAUGUGUAAAUUUCGAUAAAUCAACGGUAUUUUUCAGUAAAAACACGUUGGAGGAGGAUAGGAGACAGGUGGUCAAUGUGUUGGGGGUACGUAGGACAAGUGAACCUGAAAGAUAUUUAGGGCUACCCAAUAUGGUGGGGCGAAAGAAAAAAGAAGCUUUUCAGAGUUUAAAUGAUCGAAUAAAAAAACGUAUUGAUAACUGGAGUAACAGGUUUUUAUCACAAGGAGGGAAAGAAAUUUUUAUUAAGGCCAUUCUGCAAGCUAUUCCGACUUAUUCUAUGGCAUGCUUCUUAUUGCUGAGAGCUCUUUGCGAUGAAAUGGAGAGUAUUAUAGCAAGAUUCUGGUGGCAGAAAGGAGGGGGCAAAAGGGGAAUUCAUUGGUGCACUUGGAAAAACCUUUGUUUGCUAAAAGAAAAUGGUGACUUAGGUUUUCGAGAUCUUAGUCAAUUUAAUAUUGCGUUAUUAGCUAAACAAGGUUGGCGUCUCAUUAAUUUUCCAAAUUCUUUAUUAGCCAGAGUUUUGAAAGCUAAAUAUUUCCCAAAGUCAAGUUUCUUAAAUGCAAAGUUGGGGAAUUUACCUUCAUUUACCUGGAAGAGCAUCUGGGCAGCAAGAGGACUUCUCCAAAGAGGAUUGGGUUGGAGAGUUGGUAAAGGUAAUAGCAUUUCUAUCUGGGAAGACAACUGGAUUCAGGGGAUCGAUAAGGUGGAUGAACAUAAUAGAACAAACAGAAGGGAACUACAGUUAGUUUCAAACCUCAUUGAUAAUUCAAGCAGAAAAUGGAAGUCAGACUUAAUUAAUAGUACCUUUCAAGAAGAUACUGCUCGGAAGAUUUUACAAAUUCCCCUGGCAGAGACCGAACAUGAGGAUAUUCAAGUGUGGAGUGGAGAACUAUCUGGUGAGUUUUCAGUACGUAGUGCCUAUAAAUUAUUACAAGAUGCUUCUACAGCCAAUGACUACUUACUACAGACCGAAAUAAAAAAUUUUACAAAAAAUUAUGGAGCCAACAAUUGCCUUCAAAAAUUGCAAUUACAAUUUGGAGGAUUUCAUGGGAUUAUAUCCCUCAUCUUGGUAAUCUCAAUUUGAGGAGGGUCAUUUCAACUGCCUGUUGUCCACGGUGUUAUUCUGGAGUAGAAGAGAGUCUUCAUGUUUUCCGAGAGUGUCCUUUCACAAGAGAAGUGUGGCAAUCAUUAAAUUUAUCAUGGGUCAUGGAGAAUACGAGUCAGAAUACAUGGGAGUGGCUAACCUGGGUUUUCAAGAACAGCAACUAUUACCAAUGUCGGCUUUUCUGCUAUGCGUUAUGGUUGAUAUGGUCCUUUAGAAAUAAACUCAUUCACGAGGGGAAAAAUUCAACAGGAAGGGGAUUAGCUCAGAAUAUUCAAAGACAUAUGGCAGAAUAUGAAGGAAUAAAUGCUGUGAAGAAAACUGAGAAAAUUUUCAGGAGUCACAGAAUACAGGAAAACGUACCGAGAAUAUCGAUCAAAUUUGAUACAGCACUGGACAGUAGAACCUCUAAAUCAACGACUGGAUUAGUAGGUUGGGAUAUGAGGGGAAAUCUACUGGUGUUAAAAACGGUUAUCCACAUAAAUGUCCCCUCACCAUUCGCAGCAGAGGCAUAUGCAUGUUUAGAAGGCAUGAAAUUAGGGAUUGCAUUAGGAUCUCAGUCAGUUAGAAUUAUGGGAGACUCAAAAACCGUCAUAAAGAAGAGCAAGGCGACUUCAACAGACAGAUCGGUAAUAGGUGCCAUUAUAAAAGAUAUUCAGAACAAGAAAUCCUUUUUUCAAGAUCUUACUUUUAAGCACAUCCAUAGAUCAGAAAACACACAUGCACAUGGUCUAGCAAAGAAAGCUCUUGCGAAAGAAGAAAACAUUUACCUGAUAGGAGAAGAACUGGAACGUCAUAUUUCAACCUUGGAUGAAGAUUGGCAAAGAAAUCCGGAUUGAAGAAAUGGGUGAAAGAGCAACAUCCAAUAUAGAUAGCUUAAUGAUGUUUAAAUCUGUGGGGAAGAGCUAUCGACACAACAGAUGGGACCUUGGAAAUGACUCUUCAAUAGCCUUUAUGGUUUCCAGCUGUUCUGAUUAUUGACUGGGAUAGGAUUUUGUUCGGUUGAUUUUAAUUUCAUUUAAUGCUUUUGUUUUUCU